AUCGGACUCGUUUUGACGAGUGGCUUCUCCGGGCGCCUAUCCCCCGGCCACAG
rnacentral:ncRNA from 17 species